rnacentral:rRNA from 1 species
GAUCCUGGCUCAGGAUGAACGCUAGCUACAGGCUUAACACAUGCAAGUCGAGGGGCAGCAUGACCUAGCAAUAGGUUGAUGGCGACCGGCGCACGGGUGAGUAACACGUAUCCAACCUACCGGUUAUUCCGGGAUAGCCUUUCGAAAGAAAGAUUAAUACCGGAUAGUAUAACGAGAAGGCAUCUUCUUGUUAUUAAAGAAUUUCGAUAACCGAUGGGGAUGCGUUCCAUUAGUUUGUUGGCGGGGUACGACCGCC